ACAACCAUCUCCAAUCAGAGGACCACCAACGGAAACAGUAAAAGCACAGCCGUGUGAGUCAAGCACACUAUAAAGCCGUGCUCAUUCUUGUGUGUGUGUGUGUGUGUGUCUAGUCACCACACCUCAUUUUAUAGCGCUCUUGUUUGUAAAUUCCUUGCGCUGUCCCUCUCCCCGUCUCAUCCCUACCCAUCCCCCCCUCCGUAUUCCUCAAGCAACUCCCUUUCACAUUGCUGCUGUGGUCUAUCCGCGGUGUCGCUGGCAUGUGGCGUUGCGCGCGACGCUGUGUGUACGCUGGUGCGUUGGCUAGCAGGUCACCCCGUAGGCAUAUAUAUGUGAAUACCAAAAGACGCCUUGAAAGCAACCACAGGCACCCAGGUACCCGCAACCACGCUCGAAGCGCGCCCUCCACCUUUACCCAGCUCAUGGCUAGUCGUUACUCGUCAUAUUCCUGCCCCGAGUGAUUUGCGAUCUGCGCCGUUCUCUGUCCUGUUUCCCACCCCUCCCCUCACCGCAUCGCUCUCUCUUGCGCGCUUCUCGGCAGCGACGAUGGAGCCAGAGAAAGCGUUCAACGAAGAGCCGGAGGCGACUGUGCAGGACCCCUCGCUGGUGUCGCCCUCGUCCCUCCUCCAAGGCUCCGCGCUGCCGUUGCUAUCGCCAUCCACUACUGUCUCGCAACCACCCCGCACUGCGCCUUCGUGGAGCUGCCGCCUCCACUUCGUGAGCCCCACCACGGCGCUGGACAUUGGGGCCGCCGAUUACAGCACCGUUUACCCUCGGCUGUGUUCCAUCGAGUAUCUCGUGACCGCCGCAACGUGUCUGGGAACGAUGCUUUAUGGGUUUGCCGUGCUCCAGUCGUUCUGCUACAAGAAUUUCUUUUCGUACCAGUGGGACACCGUCGAUCCGAACCCCUUCUUUGAACGCAUGGGCUCCAAGGGCUACGACGAUAGCGUAGACGAUCAAUGGGUCGGGUUCAUCACUCAUUACAAGCGUUUUCUUGGUCUGGCCCUGCUGCUGGCGGGCUUUUCCGGGCUGUAUCGAGCGCUGCUCUCUUACUCAACGUCAUCUGCAUCCCCCGUCCCCUCUGACAGCACGGCCUGCUCAUCACCCUCGGCGAGCAGCGAGUGCUCAGGGUCGCUGGCCGGCCAUGUAAAGGUGUGGAUGCCACCGAGGUGGUUGGAUAAGCUACGCUCACGCGCGCGCACUCUCGGCUCACCCUCAGGUGCACGGAGGAGGUGCACCGACUUUCUGCAGCGCUCUUGGAUCCUGCCCGCCUUCUACACGGUUGUGGGCGUCGUCUUCGUCAUCUUUGUGCACGGCCCGCACUUUUUCCUCCCGCUGCUCAUCAUCAUCGCCAACUACGUCAUCUUCUCGCGGCUGCAGCGCUGGUGCCCCUACUGGCUGUUCAUGGUCAUCAUGUGGGCCGCGCACGUCACUCUCCUGUACCUCAUCGAGAUCAACGAUGGGUUCGAGCAGACGUACUGGCUGCAGUACUUCGUACCCACUUCCGAGAAGGUUGCUUGGGCUGUGCUGGCCGAGGUCCGGAUACCUCUCUGGAAGCAGCGUAUGCGCUGGUGCGUAGCCUUCCGCAUGUCGACGCUGCGCCUCAUCGCCUUCAACUACGACCUGUGGGAGGCCACGCACGCCGCCGCACGCGCGCGCGACCGUGCCAGGGCGAAGCACGACACCGGCUGCGUCGAGUGCGCGCAGCUGCGCGAGCAGAACGCAGCGUCGGCGGCCGCGCUGCCCGCCGAGGCGUUGCGCUGCUACAAGUACCGCACCGAGUACGCGCGCGACCCCGCCGACUACAACUUCCUGAACUACGCCGCCUACGUGCUGUUCCCGCCACUGUACCUUGCCGGGCCAAUGUCGUCCUUCAACGCGUUCGUGUCGCACAUGCGCGUGCCGAGCACGUCGAUGCCGCUGCGCAAGAUGGUGAGGUACGCGUUUGGCAUCCUCCGCAUCUACAUCACGGAGUACACGCUGUUGCACUUUGUGCACAUCCCGUGCCUCGGCUCGUACGCCUUCGUGAUCCUUCGGAUGACGUUGCUGGAGCAGGCGCACUUCCUGUUCUACAUGCUGGCCUACCUGUGGCUGAAGUUCAGCUUUAUAUGGAAGUCGUCGCGUCUCUUCGCCAUGUUCAGCGGCAUCGAAGUUCCGGAGGACAUGCGGCGCUGCUUCGGCAACACGCUGACGGUGCGGGGCUUCUGGCGCGACUGGCACGCCUCCUUCAACCUGUGGAUCGUGCGGUACAUGUACAUCCCGAUGGGUGGCCGCAGCCGCGUCGCGCUGUCGGUGCUGCCCAUCUUCCUGUUCAUUGCGGUGUGGCACGACCCGGCGCUGCACCUUGUCAAGUGGGCGGUGUGCAUUGCCGCGAUGUUCGUGGCGGAGGUGGCGGUGAGCGGGUGCUUUGGGUGGGCCGCUGCGGCGUUCCGGCGCGAGAUGGCCGCCGCGGCACCGACGGGCGCAGUAAGUGAUGCUGCGCUGGAGAACGGUCGCCCCACGAACUGCGCGCCGCGCCGCAGUCUGCUGGCACGGCUGGCGAGGCUCUCUGCGCGUCGCUUGAGCCCGCUCGCGCAAUCGUGGGUAUACCGCCAAUUUCGAGUGAUAGCGGGCAUGACCACAGUGCUCGGGCUGAUCAUUGCGAACUUGGUGGGUUUCUCGAUGCAAAAUGCGGUGGCGACUGUGGAGAAGCACGGCCUACCGUCGUCGGGGACCGAUGCAGACAAUGUGAUCAAGAAGGCGUUUCACGGUCUCACGCCUCUCUUUACCCUAGGCCUGAUUGCCUUCAUGUACUCUAUGUCCGCCUUGGCGGCGAUGGAUCGCGACAUGGCCCGCCAGCAGGCAUCGUACUUGAAGCUGCUCUAUAGAUUG
rnacentral:misc_RNA from 1 species